UAGGGAAUCUUCCACAAUGGACGCAAGUCUGAUGGAGCAACGCCGCGUGAGUGAAGAAGGUUUUCGGAUCGUAAAGCUCUGUUGUUGGUGAAGAAGGAUAGAGGUAGUAACUGGCCUUUAUUUGACGGUAAUCAACCAGAAAGUCACGGCUAACUACGUGCCAGCAGCCGCGGUAAUACGUAGGUGGCAAGCGUUGUCCGGAUUUAUUGGGCGUAAAGCGAGCGCAGGCGGAAGAAUAAGUCUGAUGUGAAAGCCCUCGGCUUAACCGAGGAACUGCAUCGGAAACUGUUUUUCUUGAGUGCAGAAGAGGAGAGUGGAAUUCCAUGUGUAGCUGUGGAAUGCGUAGAUAUAUGGAAGAACACCAGUGGCGAAGGCGACUCUCUGGUCUGCAACUGACGCUGAGGCUCGAAAGCAUGGGUAGCGAACAGG
rnacentral:rRNA from 1 species